CCAGCGUGUCAUUGGAGAUAUGAGUGCACAUCUCCAACAGAACUUGACUCGUGUCGAAUUUAUACUCAGUGCAUUAACGAUACAAAGGCAACUAAAGCUGAAUAUAUCGAAGUGCCACACAAAAACGACGAACAUUCGAAAGCAGUUCAAAAUUUUCGCAAGAUGUUAGGAUUAUCACUCAUAGACGAAGAAGUAGAGAAAAUAU